ACUCAAAUGAAUUGACGGGGGCCCGCACAAGCGGUGGAGCAUGUGGUUUAAUUCGACGCAACGCGCAGAACCUUACCAGGGCUUGACAUCCUGUGCUCGCCGGAGAGAUCCGGUUUCCCCGCAAGGGGCGCAGAGACAGGUGCUGCAUGGCUGUCGUCAGCUCGUGUCGUGAGAUGUUGGGUUAAGUCCCGCAACGAGCGCAACCCUCGCCUUUAGUUGCCAUCAUUAAGUUGGGCACUCUAGAGGGACCGCCGGCGGCAAGCCGGAGGAAGGUGGGGAUGAAGUCAAGUCAUCAUGGCCCUUACGCCCUGGGCUACACACGUGCUACAAUGGCGGUGACAAUGGGCAGCUAACUCGCGAGAGCAAGCUAAUCCCAAAAAGCCGUCCCAGUUCAGAUUGCACUCUGCAACUCGGGUGCAUGAAGGUGGAAUCGCUAGUAAUCGCAGAACAGCAGGCUGCGGUGAAUACGUUCCCGGGCCUUGUACACACCGCCCGU
rnacentral:rRNA from 1 species